UAGGGAAUCUUCGGCAAUGGGGGGAACCCUGACCGAGCAACGCCGCGUGAGUGAAGAAGGUUUUCGGAUCGUAAAGCUCUGUUGUUAAGGAAGAACGAGUGUGAGAAUGGAAAGUUCAUACUGUGACGGUACUUAACCAGAAAGGGACGGCUAACUACGUGCCAGCAGCCGCGGUAAUACGUAGGUCCCGAGCGUUGUCCGGAUUUAUUGGGCGUAAAGCGAGCGCAGGCGGUUAGAUAAGUCUGAAGUUAAAGGCAGUGGCUCAACCAUUGUAGGCUUUGGAAACUGUUUAACUUGAGUGCAGAAGAGGAGGGUGGAAUUCCAUGUGUAGCGGUGAAAUGCGUAGAUAUAUGGAGGAACACCAGUGGCGAAGGCGACUCUCUGGUCUGUAACUGACGCUGAGGUUCGAAAGCGUGGGUAGCAAACAGG
rnacentral:rRNA from 1 species